UACAGAGGGUGCAAACGUUGCUCGGAAUCAUUGGGCGUAAAGCGCACGUAGGCGGCCCAGCAAGUGGGGAGUGAAAGCCCUCGGCUUAACCGAGGAAGUGCUUUCCAAACUACUGGGCUUGAAUACUGGAGAGGUGAGUGGAAUUCCGAGUGUAGAGGUGAAAUUCGUAGAUAUUCGGAAGAACACCAGUGGCGAAGGCGGCUCACUGGACUGGUAUUGACGCUGAGGUGCGAAAGCGUGGGGAGCAAACAGG
rnacentral:rRNA from 1 species